rnacentral:rRNA from 1 species
CUUUCCAUGCAGUCGAACGGCAGCGGGGGCUUCGGCCUGCCGGCGAGUGGCGAACGGGUGAGUAAUGCAUCGGAACGUACCCAUGUUGUGGGGGAUAACGUAGCGAAAGCUACGCUAAUACCGCAUAAGCCCUGAGGGGGAAAGCGGGGGAUUCUUCGGAACCUCGCGCAAUUGGAGCGGCCGAUGUCAGAUUAGCUAGUUGGUAGGGUAAAGGCCUACCAAGGCGACGAUCUGUAGCGGGUCUGAGAGGAUGAUCCGCCACACUGGGACUGAGACACGGCCCAGACUCCUACGGGAGGCAGCAGUGGGGAAUUUUGGACAAUGGGGGCAACCCUGAUCCAGCCAUGCCGCGUGAGUGAAGAAGGCCUUCGGGUUGUAAAGCUCUUUCAGUUGGGAAGAAACGGGGUUCUCUAACAUAGGGCUCUAAUGACGGUACCGACAGAAGAAGCACCGGCUAACUACGUGCCAGCAGCCGCGGUAAUACGUAGGGUGCGAGCGUUAAUCGGAAUUACUGGGCGUAAAGCGUGCGCAGGCGGUUUUGUAAGACAGGUGUGAAAUCCCCGGGCUUAACCUGGGAACUGCGCUUGUGACUGCAAGGCUAGAGUACGGCAGAGGGGGGUGGAAUUCCACGUGUA